rnacentral:tRNA from 1 species
UCCUUGAUAUCUCAGUCGCUAAAGAAUCUGCCUGCAAUGCAGGAGACUCUGGUUUGAUUCCUGGGUUGGGAA